rnacentral:tRNA from 1 species
GCACUGUUGGCCGAGCGGAUGAGGCAAACGACUCAUAAUCGUUAUAAGGUGGGUUCGACCCCCACACGGUGCA